rnacentral:rRNA from 1 species
GGGAAUAUUGGACAAUGGGCGAAAGCCUGAUCCAGCAAUGCCGCGUGAGUGAUGAAGGCCUUAGGGUUGUAAAGCUCUUUUACCCGAGAUGAUAAUGACAGUAUCGGGAGAAUAAGCUCCGGCUAACUCCGUGCCAGCAGCCGCGGUAAUACGGAGGGAGCUAGCGUUGUUCGGAAUUACUGGGCGUAAAGCGCACGUAGGCGGCGAUCUAAGUCAGAGGUGAAAGCCCGGGGCUCAACCCCGGAAUUGCCUUUGAGACUGGAUUGCUAGAAUCUUGGAGAGGUGAGUGGAAUUCCGAGUGUAGAGGUGAAAUUCGUAGAUAUUCGGAAGAACACCAGUGGCGAAAGGCGGCUCACUGGACAAGUAUUGACGCUGAGGUGCGAAAGCGUGGGGAGCAAACAG